rnacentral:rRNA from 1 species
GAUGAACGCUGGCGGCGUGCCUAAUACAUGCAAGUCGAGCGAACAGACGAGGAGCUUGCUCCUCUGACGUUAGCGGCGGACGGGUGAGUAACACGUGGAUAACCUACCUAUAAGACUGGGAUAAUUUCGGGAAACCGGAGCUAAUACCGGAUAAUAUAUUGAACCGCAUGGUUCAAUAGUGAAAGACGGUUUUGCUGUCACUUAUAGAUGGAUCCGCGCCGCAUUAGCUAGUUGGUAAGGUAACGGCUUACCAAGGCAACGAUGCGUAGCCGACCUGAGAGGGUGAUCGGCCACACUGGAACUGAGACGCGGUCCAGACUCCUACGGGAGGCAGCAGUAGGGAAUCUUACGCAAUGGGCGAAAGCUUGACGGAGCAACGCCGCGGGAGUGAUGAAGGUCUUCGGAUCGUAGAGCUCUGUUAUUAGGGGAGAACAAAUGUGUAAGUAACUAUGCGCGUCUUGACGGUACCUGGUCAAAAAGCCACGGCUAACUACGUG